CCCUGGUUAGCUCAGUUGGUGGAGCGUUCCACUGGAAAUGGAGAUGUCCCGGGUUCGAUACCCGGACCAGGCG
rnacentral:tRNA from 2 species